rnacentral:rRNA from 1 species
CAAGCACUAGCCCACCCCUCCCCUCUCCCAAUCCACACAAAUAACUAAAAUAAAACAUUUUUCCACUAUUAAAGUAUAGGAGAUAGAAAUUUUCACUUGGCGCUAUAGAGAAAGUACCGUAAGGGAAAGAUGAAAGACAAGCUAUAAGCAAAAAACAGCAAAGAUUACCCCUUUUACCUUUUGCAUAAUGAUUUAACUAGAACAAUUUAGCGAAGAGAACUUAAGCUAAAUACCCCGAAACCAGACGAGCUAUCUAUAAACAGCCUGACAGGGCAGACCCGUCUAUGUGGCAAAAUAGUGGGAAGAUUUAUAGAUAGAGGUGAAAAGCCUACCGAGCCUGGUGAUAGCUGGUUGUCCAGAACAGAAUAUUAGUUCAAAUUUAAACUUACCUAAAAAACCCAUAAUUCCAAUGUAAGUUUAAAAAAUAGUCUAAAAGGGGACAGCUUUUUAGACACAGGAUACAACCUUUAUUAGAGAGUAAGCAUUAUUGACAUCAUAGUUGGCCUAAAAGCAGCCAUCAAUUGAGAAAGCGUUAAAGCUCAACAGUAAAAUCACCCUGAUACCAAAAACAUAUAACCAACUCCUAAUGUGCAACUGGACCAUUCUAUUAAUAAAUAGAAGAG